GGCUAGCUCAUAGCAAGGGCUGAAUCAGAAUCGAGCUUCCAGCAUGGCCUGGCCGUACUUGUUGCAGACGCUCUUGGUUUCCACCUCUCUUGGAGCCAGUGUGGCCCAGACAGUCACUCAGCGUCAGCAGGAACAGUCUGUGCAGAAGACAGAGUCAGCAACACUGGACUGCACCUACGACACGACUGAUACUAACUACAACUUGUUCUGGUACAAACAGCAAAGAGGACAGAUGACUUUCGUUAUUCACCAGGAAUCUUAUAUAAAGCACAAUACAAAGAAGGACCGCUUUUCUGUGAACUUCCAGAAAGCAGCUAAGUCCUUCAGCCUCGAGAUCUCAGACUUGCAGCUGGAGGAUGCUGCAACGUAUUUCUGUGCACUCAUGGAGAGGGGCACAGUGACACAGGCAACGGACAGGGGCUGGCAGAAACCUCAGAUCUCGGCGUCUGUGCAAACAUAGGAAGUGGCUAGGGUAGCAGUGGCACACAGGAAGACUUUCUUUUCUUUGGAGGAAAAAGUACUCAUGAGCAAUGUAGGAAACAUGGACGUAAUUCUAUAAACUGUAAUGCUCAAAGCAAUAAUAAA